rnacentral:lncRNA from 1 species
UGCUCCAUGGUGGUGGUAUGAACAAGGCGCGAGUUCCCGCAUCUUCCAAGCUCAACACUGCACAAAACAAAGAAAACAAAAAGAAACAAAACGAAAAUAAAAGAAAGAAAAACAAAACAAAAACGGUUGGGUUACCUCCCAACAAGUGCUUAAUUUAACGUCUAGAGCUCGACGAUACCUCAAAAACUCAUGGAGGUCGGAAACAGCACUCUAACCAUUGGAAAGCUUUUCUACUCUUGGGUAGGGCUGCCGCCGGUUCAGGAACCGCCGGUUCCGGGCCCGAAUCGGCGGUUCAGGGUCGGGAAUCCGGCGAACCUGAACCGGCCCGAAUGAAAGCACAAGGGCCGGUUUUUUGACCCUGAACCGGCGGUUCCGGUCCGGGCCGAAAACCGGGGUUCAAGGGCCGAAAACCGGCG